rnacentral:rRNA from 1 species
GACGAACGCUGGCGGCGUGCCUAAUACAUGCAAGUCGAACGCAGUGGGGACGGGUGAGUAACACGUGGGUAACCUCCCAUCAGAGGGGAUAACACUUGGAAACAGGUGCUAAACCGAUACUGAUGGAUGGCACCGCAGUGAAUUAGCUAGUUGGUGAGGUAACGGCUCACCAAGGCCACGAUGCAUAGCCGAGCUGAGAGGGGGAUCGGCCACACUGGGACUGGGACACGACCCAGAAUCCGUCGGGAGGCAGCAGUAGGGAAGCGUCGGCAAUGGACGAAAGUCUGACCGAGCACCGCCGCGUGAGUGAAGAAGGUUUUCGGAUCGUAAAACUCUGUUGUUAGAGAAGCGGGAUCUAACCAGAAAGCCACGGCUAACUACGUGCCAGCAGCCGGGGUAAUAC